CGUCUGCGUCACAAUGACCUGGCCACAGGUGCGAGCCUCCUCGGGGUUCCCGAUGGCGUCGUGUGGGGUGCCCGCGGCUUGCCUCCGCUUUGCGGGAGGACCAGAAGCGUCAGGACCUCAGAGCCGAGAAGAGCGACAGAGGCCUGUACCUGGACGUCAGGUUUGACCUUAAAGGAGAAAGGCUGUACUUUAAAAAGAACUGUGUGCGAUAAUAUUUGAGGAAGGAAACGAACUCCUGCUUUUCUACAUCAUCACGAUGAGUGCGUCUCCUUCCAUUUAAGGAUGCGCUCCAGCUCCAGCACUUUGGCUGUUUCUGAAUAUCAGAUCGCUUCCGUCCUGCAGAGCAGCCUCCAGGUGUGAGUGAGACUCAGAGACAGCGUCUUAGAAGAGUGACUGCAGUGAAGAGAGCUAAAAUGAGAGCAAUAAGACCUCGUGGAGGUGUUCCCAUGACUGGAACCUGGAGCACAGAUGGCUUUGCACCGUAUUCUGGCACCAGAUGGGGUGAGAGAACGUGUUGCUGCUCUUCAUGGUGUCCUUAAGGCAGCAGGAUUUGGUAGACAGCAGGCACCCUGCUGGAAGCCUGAAGGCCCUGGAUUAGAACCCAUGAUGAUACAAUGCCAAGGCUUGCACUCAGGCUUAUAGCCACCUGCAAGUUUGCAUGACUCCUGGUAGACUAUUCCCAACAGAAGCUGGCAACAUGGAAGAUGAAGCACAGAUUAACAGAAGGAGAAGAGUUGUGAUUCUCACAUUCAAGCACAUUGGAUGACCAUGAAAAUAACAGCCACAAAAGCACAGAAAGGAUCUUGAAGUUUAAACAUCAGAAAGAUGUGAAAAGAGCACAAAAUAGUAGCAGAAAGUCUCAAAUGAUAGAUUCUUUGAAAGAACUCUGCACGCAAUGGCAAAAUAUGAUAGAAACAUCUCAAAUGCUUGAUUUUCUUCUUCCAUUUGGAGGAAGAGGAAAGGGAACUUUCUAAUGUUUGUCAGGUGCUAAAGGGAGUCUUAUAAGGAUAAGAAGGAAUUGAACAACCUCAAGACCUAUGUGUGCCUAGCAGGCCUUUCCAGGAGCAAGUCUUUUCAACAUAUACUUACCCCACGGAAAGAGAUGGUUCUUGAUGUUUAAGUUACAACUUGUUAGGAUCAAGGGACCUUAGGCAACACUUCCUAGGUGCUCAUGAAAAGUCCAGUUAGCCAAACAGCAUCUACAGUGGCCAGAUGCGUUCAUAUCUUGGCCUCAGAAGAAGCUGGGAAGUCCCAGUGCAACUGUCUUGAAGUCUGUUUCCCAUAUCCAGAGAGAGGAGUAUCAGGAGCCUUAAGGCGUGUGCACAAAGGUUGCCAGAGCCGUAAUUUCAGACUGCAUCAUUUAAUAAAAUACAAUAAGAGGAAUUAAGAAGAAAGGCUGCAGUGAACAUCCUGCUUAUUAUCUCUGUAAUGAGAGGACUAUUUUUUCUCCCAUCAGUUGCCAAUGAUGGGGUUUUUUAUUUCCUUUCAUCUGAGCACAAUUGUGAUAUUCAAUGAGAGGGGUUGUGAAGUGCCACUUGAAAGCCAAACAUUCAAUUCCUCCUAAUUCACAAGGGAGAGAAGGAUCAAGUUGUGCAGCUGGGAGGUGAUGUUUCUUCCUAGCAGCUGUCACUGGAGAGACAUGUGCAAACCAUAGAAGUCAUUUGUCACAAGAGCCCCAUCCCGAAUGUGCUAUGUGCCUCUCCCUUGCUAACGUGACAUGAAAUAGUGAGGCUUUCAAACUCAAGUUCAGAGACUUCGCUGUGUUGACGUGGGCAAAAUGGAAUGAAGAACCGAGGCAAUUAUGUGGAUAAAUCAGGCCCAAAAUAUCCUACCACUGAGAGAAAAAAAUGUCUGUGGCUCAAAUUAUUCAAAGUGACUGUCCAUGCUCAUCAAUUUAUCAGGAUAAUGAAUUUUAUCCUACACUUUGUCACUAGAGAUAUAUCUCCAGUCUAUGAAUUUGAAUGACUUUGUGAUAUUUUAUUUCACUGGAAAUUGCAAUAGGAGUUGAAUGAGCAAGCACUGUAUUAAAAGAUUGCUACUGAAGCUGUGAUAACAGUUCAAGAGAAUUUAAGCUUCAUUACUCCCUAGCUAGCUGGUAAGACUGUUGCAGUGGGGGUCCAGAGGGAUUAUGUGAAAACUGUUGAGAAUUGGAUGCUUGUAACUAAUCUCAGUCUCUCCCAUUUAGUAACCCAUUACCCCCCAAAAUAUCUUGGUCCGUUGCUCUUAACUAGUUUUCUGGUCAUUUGACAACCAAUGAAAUCAUUGUGAAAAUUUCAUUAAAAUUUAUAGAAAGCUGAUGUAUUAGGAUUAUAUGUGUAUAUAUAAAUGUUACCUUCAUGUAUGUUAAUAUUUAUUAAUACCUCUUAUAUUUCAUUAAAGAGAUAAAAGUUUCAAAUACAUAACGCAAGGUCAGUACAUAAAGCAAUGCCUGUGCAUACAUCGGCAUUGGCUUCUGCUUUGUACCCUUUGCAUACUCCAGGCCUUGUUGCUUCUGGAGACAUCUGAAUCAAGGUCAGGAGUCCAGGGCUCUCCCGAAGGGCAAAGGGAGAACUUCUGAACAGUUAGCUCUACUACCUCUGAUGAAGUAGUAGUAGAGUUACUACUGCCUCUACUACCUCCUCGGUCCUGCUGCAGCUUCUUAAACAUUAGGGACCGCCUGCCACUCAGAAGUUAUAAAUCAAGAACAUGCUCACUGAAGCAAUAGGAUACUACACAAGAAGCAACAGCCAAGAUCAAUACCAUUUUUAUCUUUAUCCAUAAAAUUAUAACAUAAGAAGUACCUUGAAG